UACGUAGGCAGCAAGCGUUGUUCGGAGUUACUGGGCGUAAAGGGUGUGUAGGCGGUUUUUUAAGUUUGGUGUGAAAUCUCCCGGCUCAACUGGGAGGGUGCGCCGAAUACCGGAAAGACUAGAGUGCGGGAGAGGAAAGUGGAAUUCCUGGUGUAGCGGUGAAAUGCGUAGAUAUCAGGAGGAACACCGGUGGUGUAGACGGCUUUCUGGACCGUAACUGACGCUGAGACACGAAAGCGUGGGUAGCAAACAGG
rnacentral:rRNA from 1 species